CCUACGGGAGGCAGCAGUGAGGAAUAUUGGUCAAUGGGCGAGAGCCUGAACCAGCGAAGUCGCGUGAAGGAUGAAGGACCUACGGGCUGUAACCUUCUUUUGUCAGGGAGCAAUUGAGUCCACGUGUGGUCCUAUCGAGAGUACCUGAAGAAAAAGCAUCGGCCAACUCCUUGCCAGCAGGCGCGCUAAUACGGAGGAUGCGAGCGUUAUCCGGAUUGAUUGGGUUUAAAGGGUGCGUAGGCGGAAUAGCAAGUCAGCGGUAAGUAGACGGGGCUCACCCCCGUCGUGCCGUUGAAACUGAUGUUCUUGAGUGGGCGAGAAGUAUGCGGAAUGCGUGGUGUAGCGGUGAAAUGCAUAGAUAUCACGCAGAACUCCGAUUGCGAAGGCAGCAUACCGGCGCCCAACUGACGCUGAAGCACGAAAGCGUGGGUAUCGAACAGGAUUAGAUACCCCAGUAGUC
rnacentral:rRNA from 1 species